GACGAACGCUGGCGGCGUGCCUAAUACAUGCAAGUAGAACGCACAGUUUAUACCGUAGCUUGCUACACCAUAGACUGUGAGUUGCGAACGGGUGAGUAACGCGUAGGUAACCUGCCUGGUAGCGGGGGAUAACUAUUGGAAACGAUAGCUAAUACCGCAUAAUAUUAAUUAUUGCAUGAUAAUUAAUUGAAAGGUGCAAUUGCACCACUACCAGAUGGACCUGCGUUGUAUUAGCUAGUAGGUGAAGUAACGGCUCACCUAGGCGACGAUACAUAGCCGAACUGAGAGGGUGAUCGGCCACACUGGGACUGAGACACGGCCCAGACUCCUACGGGAGGCAGCAGUAGGGAAUCUUCGGCAAUAGGCGAAAGUCUGACCGAGCAACGCCGCGUGAGUGAAGAAGGUUUUCGGAUCGUAAAGCUCUGUUGUAAGAGAAGAACGGGUGUGAGAGUGGAAAGUUCACACUGUGACGGUAUCUUACCAGAAAGGGACGGCUAACUACGUG
rnacentral:rRNA from 1 species